AUGGUGUCAAUAAAGUUUUUGAGGUGUAUGAACGGGCAGUUCUUGCAGUUACUUAUUCAGUGGACAUAUGGUGUAAUUAUUGUCAGUUUGCGAUCUCAACAUACAAUGACCCAGAUGUCAUCACAAGAUUAUGGUUCCAAUACUUUGUGGGAUGAGUACAUCAAGAAUGAAGAAUCACUUCAAGCAUGGAGUCAUCUAGCUGUGGUAUACACAAGAAUACUAGAGCACCCUAUAAAACAGCUUGAUCGGUACUUUAAUUGGCAUCCCAAAAUUUCGCUCCAGAUGACUCAUUUAUUCCACUGA
rnacentral:rRNA from 1 species